rnacentral:rRNA from 1 species
UGGGGAAUAUUGGACAAUGGGGGCAACCCUGAUCCAGCGAUGCCGCGUGUGCGAAGAAGGCCUGCGGGUUGUAAAGCACUUUGAGUGGGGAAGAAAGACGUACGUUUAAUAGACGUAUGAGUUGACGUUACCCACAGAACAAGCACCGGCUAACUCUGUGCCAGCAGCCGCGGUAAUACAGAGGGUGCAAGCGUUAAUCGGAAUUACUGGGCGUAAAGGGCGCGUAGGCGGUUAUUUAAGUUAGAUGUGAAAUACCCGGGCUUAACCUGGGAAGUGCAUAUAAUACUGGAUAGCUAGAGUAGAAGAGAGGGAAGUGGAAUUUCCGGUGUAGCGGUGAAAUGCGUAGAUAUCGGAAAGAACACCAGUGGCGAAGGCGGCUUCCUGGAUUCAUACUGACGCUGAGGCGCGAAAGCAUGGGGAGCAAACAGG